UGGGGAAUCUUCCGCAAUGGACGAAAGUCUGACGGAGCAACGCCGCGUGAGUGAUGACGGUCUUCGGAUUGUAAAGCUCUGUUAAUCGGGACGAAUGGUUUGUGUGCAAAUAGUGCAUAGACAUGACGGUACCGGAAUAGAAAGCCACGGCUAACUACGUGCCAGCAGCCGCGGUAAUACGUAGGUGGCAAGCGUUGUCCGGAAUUAUUGGGCGUAAAGCGCGCGCAGGCGGACUAGCCAGUCAGUCUUAAAAGUUCGGGGCUUAACCCCGUGAUGGGAUUGAAACUACUAGUCUAGAGUAUCGGAGAGGAAAGUGGAAUUCCUAGUGUAGCGGUGAAAUGCGUAGAUAUUAGGAAGAACACCAGUGGCGAAGGCGACUUUCUGGACGAACACUGACGCUGAGGCGCGAAAGCCAGGGGAGCGAACGGG
rnacentral:rRNA from 3 species